CCUACGGGCGGCAGCAGUGGGGAAUAUUGCACAAUGGGGGAAACCCUGAUGCAGCGACGCCGCGUGAGUGAGGAAGUAUCUCGGUAUGUAAAGCUCUAUCAGCAGGGAAGAAAAUGACGGUACCUGACUAAGAAGCCCCGGCUAACUACGUGCCAGCACCCGCGGUAACAUGUAGGGAGCAAGCGUUAUCCGGAUUUACUGGGUGGAAAGGGAGCGUAGGCGGCUAAUCAAGUCAGAAGUGAAAACCCAGGGCUCAACCUUGGGACUGCUUUUGAAACUGAGUAGCUAGAGUGAAGGAGAGGUAAGCGGAAUUCCUGGUGUAGCGGUGAAAUGCGUAGAUAUUGGGAGGAACACCAGUGGCGAAGGCGGCUUACUGGACUGUAACUGACGUUGAGGCUCGAAAGCGUGGGGAGCGAACAGGAUUAGAUACCCCUGUAGUC
rnacentral:rRNA from 1 species